AUAUACCAUUUUGGAAAAAAGGGACCAUUAAAUGUCUUAAAAGACAUGAAUCAAUCAAAUACCAUUUUAGGAAAAAUGGAACCAUUAUGUCUUAAAGACAUGAAUCACAUCACCAUUUUUUUUAUAACGUGAGAUUUCAAGAAUUCAAAAUAUGAUAGCGUCUUCAACACUUCAAAAAAAAAUUCGAGAUUUCAGAGCACCUUAAUUAACGUGAGAUAUUGCAAUAUUAAAGAAGUACGGUGUAAUCUUUCUCAAGAGAAUCGACUCAGGUAUGUUAAGGCUAAUUCUUCUUUCUUUUGGCAUGAUCCAAGUAACGAUACGCAAACGUAAUGAUAUUCCAUAAGUGGUUCUACUCUUAGCAGUUAAGGAUGUCUAUGUUAUUCGUUCCCCUACGAUCAUGCAUAUCAAUUUGAGGACAUUAAUUAGGUGUAAUAGUUGGCAUCCUGUGUUCAUGACUUUUCUGAGAUUUGUUAAGAUCACAUUCUAGCCCCUCUACGUGUUUUGGGAACGAUCUUUUUCUAAUUUAAUCCUUAAUUUUAAUACUUUUAAUAAUAUAGAGAAAGCAAGAAAAGGACGAAGACAGAUUUGAUGUAAUAAGAUAUUAUUAUGCUCUAACCAGAUUCAUACUUAUUUGCAGCUUACUUGACUUAGUGGGUGAGAGAAAAUUGUAGGUCAGUUUGGUUGUGUACUAAUUACACAGAUUUGGUGCUUCAUUUUUGGAGUGUUUCUAUAGAUAUAAUUUUUAUUUCAUGGAUAUUACUCCGAGCAGAGGGCUUCCACUAAAAAAAUAAUUUUCAUGUCAUUUGGUUCCUUUUGUAAUCAGUAGCCUAAAUUACAGCCAUAUUUCUACGAUUCAUCAAAAUCCAGAAAACAAUCAAAAAAAUUCGAAAAAAGACUUUUUUGAUUGGAUGGGAAUGAAUGAAAAAAUAUUAAAUCGUCCCAUAUUGAAUCUGGAAUUUUGGCUCUUCCCAGAAUUUGUACCAUUUUAUAAUGUAUAUAAAAUAAUACCGUGGAUUAUACCAAGCAAAUUACUUCUUUUAAAUUUGAAUACAAAUGAAAAUGUUAGUCAAAAUAAAAACAAAAAACAAAACUUUUUUCAACGAUCAAAUAAAAAAAUAAAGAAUCGAAUUCAAGAAGAAAAAGAACCCGCAAGUCAAGGAGAAAAAGAGCGUGGAUCAGAUAUAGAAAACAAAGGAAAUCUGGGCCCUGUUCUCUCAAAACAACGGAGCUUAACCUGAGUCUCGGUUAAGAACGACGAUGAUAUACGUUUCACACGGCGCACGAUUCCAUGGAUAGUUUUAUUCGAGAUCAUGAUGGAGGACAUAGCUUACGAUCAUCGGCUUUGAUCAUGCCACUAGGCAUUUGAUUAAGACAUUGCACAAUGAUCCGAACACUUUGUCGCAUCUAUAGUAUUUUUGCCCUGGUGGAUUUCUUUCUCAGUUAAUAAAUGUCUGGAAUCUUGAGUUACUAAUUGGUGGAAUACUGGGCAAUCCGAAAUCUUUUUGAAUAAUAUUCAAGAAAAGACGAUUCCUUGUGGAAAAAAAACGAUUUGCUGAGGCGGAAAAAAAGAUAUCAAAUUUCUACCAAGAUAACUGGAAGUUCCAACUAAUAAGAAGCCAGUAUAAUAAGUCAAUUUGUACUCUUUAACACCAGCUUUGAAUCCAACACUUGCUUUAGUCUCUGUUUGUGGUGACAUAAAUCCCUCCCUACAACUCAUGAAUUAAGAAUUCUCACAACAACAAGGUCUACUCGACACGAAUUCCGCGUUAAUAAAACUUUUCACAGGAAUCUUUCACAAAAUUUCCAACUAAUACUAAUAUUAUCAACUAAUCAGAAUGGCAGUCAUGCAUUUACCACUAUUCUACGGCCGGUUGGGUAGUUACAUAUUUACCACCCAACUACGUCCGGUCGGGCAGUCAUGUAUUUACCACCGCGCUAUGGCCGUUCGGGCAGUUACCACCGGUAGGGCAGUUAUGUAUUAUUAUUUNNNNNNNNNNNNNNNNNNNNNNNNNGCAUAUACGGUGGCACUCCAGAGAUUCAGGUUGAUUCUUAUAUAUAUUUAAUUAAUGUUGAAUUAUGGUUAUGUUUCAGUUCUGCCUUACAUACUCAGUACAUUAUUCGUACUGAUGUCCUUUUGUUGGGGACGCUGCAUUCAUGCCUGGAGAUAUAGAUAAUCAAUUUGACAAGCCCUCAUAGUAGACGAGAUUGGCAUCCAACGAAGAAUCGGUAAGACUCCACCUCAUUCAGAGUGCAGCCGAGUUUAUGAAUCAUCGUGUCAGGAUUUUGCUACAGACUUAUGAGUAGGCCGGUACCCUAUCCCAUUUGAUGUCAAAUAAUCUUAGAGGCUUUGUAGAUAGAGGUUCAUUUUGUACAGUAUGUCAGAGUCCAUGACGGCACAUAUGUAUUCAUGUUUUAAGAAAAAUGGUUCAGUGAUACUGUAUUGCCCACUUAUAGUUACACAUUACGAGUUGUGGCCAUGUUGGCCCAUGAUAGUUACCAAAACAAAUAUAGUUAUAUAAUGGUUCGAUCGGGCCAGUGCGAUACCGGGUGCCAGCUACGCCUCCCCAGGUUUGGGAUGUGAUAAGUAGUAUCAGAGCGGGUCGCGUCCUAGGGAGUCUACAAAGCCGUGUCUAGUAGAGUCUCACUUAUGGAUGUGUUGCGCGCCACAUUUUUAAUUGAGAGGCUAUAGGGUAUUUAGGAAAUAUUACCCUUCUUUUAUUUCCAGAUCAUGACAUAGAGCUGAGUCGUAAGGAAUCAGUACGAAGCUUUCGCUAGAUUUUGUAUGCACCAGAGGUGCAGGUAUUACAGUAGAGCUUUAAGGCGUAAUAUGGAAGGGAGUUUAUGAAAGAAACAGAAGAUACAAUGCGAGAUUGAAAGGUAAGUAAGGUAAAGGUAAAGAAGAUACGAGAUAUUCAAGUACAAGAGAUUGUGAAUAGUCGAGACUUCAGAUAGAGGUUGGGUUUUAGUUUAGUUUACAGAAGAGACCCUAGCAAAAGUUUUAAAAAUCUCAAGAGUUAACAUUCGAGGACGAAUGUUUCUAAAGGGGGGAAGGAUGUUACAUCCCGUACCUUAGCAUAAGGAUGUGCCGUAGUAAAUCCACAUGAGUUCGAAGGGAUUAUGUCUAUUAGAAGGUUAUAGAGAGUUUAAGACAUUAUUAUUAUGAGACCCUAUAAAUUUACAACCUUGAUACCGUUACAUAUUAUGUUAAUGUGGUAUCUUCUUUUAAGUGGAGUAUUUUAGUAAAAGUUUUAUAAGUAUAAUUUUGGAUAGUUACCAUUAUUACUAUUUUUGAAUAUGGUAAAUUAUACACAUAAUAUAAGAAAGUUUAUGAGAUUUUCUUUAUUGUAAAGAUAGAAAUUAUUUUCUCACAAGAAAAGAAGGUUAUCUUUUUACCAUUUUAAGAAUUAAGCGUACGAGAAUUUUUAUUCUUUAUAUGAGAUUAGGAAAAUUAUAAGUUGAAAAAAUAUAUGUAUUUUUUUUACAUGGAUAUUUUAAUAAAAUAAUAAGUGUAUAUAUUUAUUUUAUAUGGUACCAUAUGACCAUGAUAGUAUGAUGUAUAAAGUGUGUUUAAAGUGAGUAAUAUUUUAAGUAAUUUGAGAUAAUUAUUAAUUAGUGGUUAAUUAAGAUCUUUUGGAUAAAGACCAAAAUGUCACGUGGCAGCAAGACCAUGUCCAAAUUGUGACUCUUACAAUUGAGUGAUAGGUGGCAUAUUUAUUAAUAUGCUGCAAGAUUUGAAAAUUUGACAAGUCUUCUAACAUGAAUCAUAUACCAUUUGGGGAAAAAGGGACCACUAAAUGUCUUAAAAGACAUGAAUCAAUCAGAUACCAUUUUAGGAAAAAUGGAACCAUUAUGUCUUAAAGACAUGAAUCACAUUACCAUUUUUUUUAUAACGUGAGAUUUCAAGAAUUCAAAAUAUGAUAGCGUCUUCAACACUUCAAAAAAAAUUCGAGAUUUCAGUGCACCUUAAUUAACGUGAAAUAUUGCAAUAUUAAGGGUGUACGGUGUAAUCUUUUUCAAAAGAAUCGAUUCAGGUAUGUUAAGGCUAAUUUUUCUUUCUUUUGGCAUGAUCCAAGUAACGAUACGCAAACGUAAUGAUAUUCCAUAAGUGAUUCUACUCUUAGCAGUUAAGGAUGUCUAUAUUAUUCGUUCCCCUACGAUCAUGCAUAUCAAUUUGAGGACAUUAAUUACGUGUAAUAGUUGGCAUCCUGUGUUCAUGACUUUUCUGAGAUUUGUUAAGAUCACAUUCUAGCCCCUCUACGUAUUUUGGGAACAAUCUUGUUCCAAUUUAAUCCUUAAUUUUAAUACCUUUAAUGAUAUAAAGAAAGCAAGAAAAGGACGAAGGCAGAUUUGAUGUAAUAAGAUAUUAUUAUGCUCUAACCAUAUUCAUACUUAUUUGCAGCUUACUUGACUUAGUGGGUCAGAGAAAAUUGUAGGUCAGUUUGGUUGUGUACUAAUUACACAGAUUUGGUGUUUCAUUUUUGGAGUGUUUCCAUAGAUAUAAUUUUUAUUUCAUGGAUAUUACUCCGAGCAGAAGGCUUCCACUAAAAAAAUAAUUUUCAUUUCAUUUGGUUCCUUUUGUAGUCAGUAGCCUAAAUUACAGCUGUAUUUCCUAACGAAGUAUGGCAGUCAUGCAUUUACCAC
rnacentral:lncRNA from 1 species